GCGGGUAUAGUUUAGUGGUAAAAGUGUUAGCCUUCCAAGCUAAUGAUGCGGGUUCGAUUCCCGCUACCCGCU
rnacentral:tRNA from 1 species